UACAGAGGUGGCAAGCGUUGUUCGGAAUUACUGGGCGUAAAGGGCGCGUAGGCGGCCUACUAAGUCAGACGUGAAAUCCCCCGGCUUAACCUGGGAACUGCGUCUGAUACUGGAAGGCUUGAGGAUGGGAGAGGGAUGUAGAAUUCCAGGUGUAGCGGUGAAAUGCGUAGAUAUCUGGAGGAACACCAAUGGCGAAGGCAGCUCGCUGGGACGGUACUGACGCUGAGACGCGAAAGCGUGGGGAGCAAACAGG
rnacentral:rRNA from 1 species